GUGAAACCAAGUCUGUGGAAAGGUGGAGUGUGCUGGGAGGCUGUGGAGGAAGACUGUCGGGUGGGGCCGUGCACUGUGCCCACGUGGAGGCGGGCACCCCAGGGGACCCUGCGCUUGCUAUUUGACUGGAUUCUCACGGCAGCUCUCAGAAAUCUGCACCAUGACUCCGAUUUGACUGAUGGAGACCCAGAUACCCAGAGAGAUUAAGCAGCUCCGGCCAGGCCAUGGCUUACAUUCCAGCUCCCUCUCACUGGGUGACAACUGGCUCCCUCUGUCCCCCACGUGUUGGAACACUUACUGCAUUGUAAAAAAACAUCGCCUUGACCCAAGACAGGGGGAGGAGCCAUUCGUAUACCUGCGUAUGACCUCAGGCAAGGCUCUUGAUGUUUCUGGGACUCUUGUAAAAUGAUGGCAAUAGUAUCCACCUUGCAGCAUUGUUAUAAUCAUUAACAAUUCAUUGGACCAUCUCUCCAUGCAUCCAUCCAUGCAUCUACCCAUCCAUCCAUCCAAACUCAAUCUUGUUCCAAAGGGAACUGAAGUCUACUCACCGGCCCUGUAUGCAGUAAGUCCGCCAUGCAUUGAAGCUACUAACCAGUGUCAUCAAUCUUAUUCCAGCCUUCUUCAGCUUGCUGCCUUUGCUGGGGAAGUGCCCACUCAGGACAGCUGAGGAGACGGAGCCACGGAGGUUGACAUAGGAGGUGAUGGAACAGCCAGUUUUCCUGCUGAGCCCAUCCGUAUAGACAGCCGGCAUGCAUUGAUGUGUCUCUCUCCCAGCUUCAACCCCUGUCUGCAGAGCUGGAGUCUCCGACUGUUCCCGCAUGUCCCUUCUCUGUUGUUACCUGCAGUCCAGACAAAAAUGGCAUAGUAAAAUAAAAGUUGAGAGAAUGCACAAACUGAUCUUUAUUUUCUCCAACAUCAAAGCGUGAUUGAUUUAUUUAUAUUUAUUUAUUUAUUUAUUUUAUUUUUGAGACAGAAUUUCACUCUGUUGACCAGGCUGGACUGCAAUGGCUCACUGCAACCUCUGCCUCCCUGGUUCAAGCAAUUCUCCUGCCUCAGCCUCCUACAUAGCUGGGAUUACAGACGCCCACCACCACACCUGGCUAAUUUUUUGUAUUUAGUAGAGUCAGAGUUUCACCAUGUUAGUCAGGCUGGUCUCGAACUGCUGACCUCAGGUGAUCCACCCACCUUGGCCUCCCAAAGUGCUGAGAUUACAGGUGUGCACCACCGCACCCAGCCGCAUGAUUUUUUUUCUUUCUGUUCUAGACAAUUUGAAAACACGAAUGAGAAGAAGAAACAGAAUCCCCCUAAUCCUAACUGCAUCAAACACAGCAAGCACUUCAACAUUCAUCUCUGUGGACCCUUUCUUGCUAGGAAAGCUGGAGAUUUUCCCUACAUAAUUAUGCUUAAAAAAAAAAACCUUUCAAGUUUAGAAUAGUUUUAUAUUUGCAGAGAAAUUGUGACAAUAGUACAGAGAAAUACACCCCACACCCAGUUCCCCCUAUUAUUAACAUCUUAUAUUAGUAUGGUGGAACAUUUGUUACAAUUAAUGCAGAAUGAGACAUUUUUAUUAACUGAAGUCCAUACUUGAUGUUCUUUUUCUGUCCCAGAAUCCCACAUUGCAUUUAGUCAUUGUGUGUCCCCAGGCUCCUCUUGGCUGUGACACUUUCUGACUCUCCUUGUCUUUGAUGAUCCUGAGAGUUUUAACGAGGACUGGUCAGGCGUUUUGUAGAACGUCCCUCAAUUUGAUCGCCUGAUUUUUUUUUUCUUUUUUUUUUUUUUUUGAGAUGGAGUCUUGCUCUGUCAUCAAGGCUGGAGUGCUGUGGCUCGAUCUCGGCUCCCUGCAACCUCGCCUCCCAGGUUCAAGCAAUUCUGCUGCCUCAACCUCCCAUAUAGCUGGGACUACAGGCACGUGUCACCACGCCUGGCUAAUUUUUGUAUUUUUAGCAGAGACAUGGUUUCACUGUGUUGGCCAGGCUGAUCUCAAACUCCUGACCUCAAGUGAUCUGCCCGUCUCAGCCUCCCAAAGUGCUGGGAUUACAGGCAUGAGCCACCACUCCCACCCUGGUGUUUUUCAUGAUUAAACUAAUCCGGUUUUUGGGAGUGACACUUUUUAAACCCCUUGUUUAAGUUUCUAUUAUGAAGGAUAGGAGAGAAGAGCUGAUAACUUUUGGGGAUAGCUAAGAAGAAAGCAUGUUGCUACAUUUUUGCCUCCACUCAAUUAGUGAGUGUAGUUUGAGGCCACCUGACUACAGGGCUGCCUUCUCUCCCCUUUCCCAUCUCUAGGCUCCAGUCUCCACUGCCUGAAGGAAAGAAGCUUUUGAAACUUGAAUCCCAUCUCAUCACUUCCUGGCUGAAAGCGCCGGCGCUGCUGUGGCUGUGGUCCUUGGGCAGGAUUCCAAAUCCUUCUUCUGAGCUUUCAAAGCCCUCAUCUGGCUCCAGAAGUUCCUUACCCCUGGUCUUAGUUAGAGACAAAAAU
rnacentral:lncRNA from 10 species